rnacentral:rRNA from 1 species
UACGUAGGGGGCAAGCGUUGUCCGGAUUUAUUGGGCGUAAAGCGCUCGCAGGUGGUUCAUUGCGUCGUGCGUGAAAGACCCCGGCUCAACUGGGGAGGGUCGUGCGAAACGGGUGAACUAGAGGCCAGUAGGGGGAUGCGGAAUUCCUGGUGUAGCGGUGAAAUGCGCAGAUAUCAGGAGGAACACCGGUGGCGAAAGCGACUUCCUGGACCAAUACUGACGCUCAUGUGCGAAAGCGUGGGGAGCAAACAGG